AUUGAACGCUGGCGGCAGGCCUAACACAUGCAAGUCGAGCGGGGUUUUCGGACCUAGCGGCGGACGGGUGAGUAAUGCGUAGGAAGCUGCCCGAUAGAGGGGGAUACCAGUUGGAAACGACUGUUAAUACCGCAUAAUGUCUACGGACCAAAGUGUGGGACCUUCGGGCCACAUGCUAUCGGAUGCGCCUGCGUGGGAUUAGCUAGUUGGUGAGGGAAUGGCUCACCAAGGCGACGAUCUCUAGCUGGUUUGAGAGGAUGAUCAGCCACACUGGAUGUGAGACACGGUCGAGACUCCUACGGGAGGCAGAAGUGGGGAAUAUUGGACAAUGGGCGCAAGCCUGAUCCAGCCAUGCCGCGUGUGUGAAGAAGGCCUUCGGGUUGUAAAGCACUUUCAGCGAGGAGGAAGGGUGGUGUGUUAAUAGCACAUCAUUUUGACGUUACUCGCAGAAGAAGCACCGGCUAACUCUGUGCCAGCCGCCGCGGUAAAAC
rnacentral:rRNA from 1 species